GACGAACGCUAGCGGCAGGCCUAAUACAUGCAAGUCGAGGGGCAGCAGUUCGGCUGGCGACCGGCGCACGGGUGCGUAACGCGUAUGCAACUUACCCUUUAGAGGAGGAUAGCCUGUGGAAACGCAGAUUAAUACUCCAUAUGAUGAUAAAGUGGCAUCACUUAGUCAUGAAAUGAAUUUUGCUAAAGGAUGGGCAUGCGUCCCAUUAGCUAGUUGGUGAGGUAAAGGCUCACCAAGGCAACGAUGGGUAGCUGGUCUGAGAGGAUGAUCAGCCACACGGGCACUGAGACACGGGCCCGACUCCUACGGGAGGCAGCAGUAAGGAAUAUUGGUCAAUGGGGGCAACCCUGAACCAGCCAUGCCGCGUGCAGGAAGAAGGUCCUCUGGAUUGUAAACUGCUUUUAUAAGGGACUAAUCCGGUGCUAUACGCACCGUUGCAGGUACCUUAAGAAUAAGCACCGGCUAACUACG
rnacentral:rRNA from 1 species